CUGCGUCAUGGGGGCCGGAAAGAUCACUUCUCAAAAGCUUUCAUAAUGAAAACAAAAAGCAUCGCCUUUUGGCUCCAUUGGUUUGAUGCCAAAGGCCUAAAGGAGGGAGGAACCGAUGCCGGAAUACGAUUGGACUUCAAUAUUCUCUUGACCAGUCUGCGCCUUGACCUGUAUUCCACGCAGACUGCUCGCAACCAGUGGAUUGACUCACAAGUCAACCAAGUCUUUGCCCCCAAGCCAACGAAGGUCCCCAAGAAAAGGCCGACGGACUUGGCGCAAGAAGGAUCGCUCGGGCUUCGCUGAAUGAAGUUUCCGCCGGUCGAGGUUAAGUUUAUGCUCUCACUGCUCAUCAUGUUUUCCUCUUCCUCUUCGAUGCCGUCCAAUUCUUCUGAGAACGCUCUGCCAGAAGAUGGGGUGUUUGAGGUCGACGACUAUCUCACCUUCGCCGAUGACGGACACGAAGAGGCCUCUUUGAGCCAUCCAUCCGUUCACCGGUAUCCUCUUGUGCAGGCCGCCGACUGCGCCGCCAACAAAACCAAGAUCACAGAUUGCAACAAAAGCAAGGAUGCCGGAAAGAGAUCUUCGAAGAGGAGCAGCAGUUUUAAAGUCGCAUUCAAAACAAAAUCAGAGCUUGAGAUAUUAGAUGAUGGAUACAAGUGGAGGAAGUAUGGGAAAAAAGCAGUGAAAAGCAGCCCAAAUCCCAGGAACUACUAUCGCUGCUCAAGCGAAGGAUGCCAAGUCAAGAAGAAAGUAGAGAGACACCGAGACGACUCAAGCUUUGUGAUAACCACCUAUGAGGGUACCCAUAACCAUCAUGCCCCCUACCCAGCAGUAACACAGCAUCGAGCUGUCGAAACACCUAAUUCCCAUGACCUCUCCUGCUGAACUGCAUUCAGGAUGACACUCGAAGAAGUGUUAGGACAAGUCAAUGCUGGCAUAGGUAACUCCGGAGUUAAAGAAUUGUAUUUCCAUUGUCAGGACCCUAAAAUCUUGGUCGACUAGUGUUAUUGUAAAUAAAGUUCUAUAUUCAUCAUCAGAAAGAACAUAUAAAUGGUAUGAAUGGUUGGUUUUGUUGGAAAA